CAGUCGCCGCGGGAAAACGUAGGCCCCGAGCGUUGUCCGGAUUUAUUGGGCGUAAAGCGCGCGCAGGUGGUUAAAUAAGUCUGAUGUGAAAGCCCACGGCUCAACCGUGGAGGGUCAUUGGAAACCGUUAAACUUGAGUGCAGGAGAGAAAAGUGGAAUUCCUAGUGUAGCGGUGAAAUGCGUAGAGAUUAGGAGGAACACCAGUGGCGAAGGCGGCUUUUUGGCCUGUAACUGACACUGAGGCGCGAAAGCGUGGGGAGCAAACAGGAUUAGAUACCCCAGUAGUCCCUGUCUCUUAUAA
rnacentral:rRNA from 1 species